AUUGAACGCUGGCGGCAUGCCUUACACAUGCAAGUCGAACGGUAACGCGGGGCAACCUGGCGACGAGUGGCGAACGGGUGAGUAACGCAUCGGAACGUGCCCAACAGUGGGGGAUAGCCCGGCGAAAGCCGGAUUAAUACCGCAUACGACCCAAGGGUGAAAGCGGGGGAUCGUAAGACCUCGCGCUGAUGGAGCGGCCGAUGUCAGAUUAGGUAGUUGGUGGGGUAAAAGCCUACCAAGCCGACGAUCUGUAGCUGGUCUGAGAGGACGACAAGCCACACUGGGACUGAGACACGGCCCAGACUCCUACGGGAGGCAGCAGUGGGGAAUUUUGGACAAUGGGGGCAACCCUGAUCCAGCCAUGCCGCGUGCGGGAAGAAGGCCUUCGGGUUGUAAACCGCUUUUGUCGGGGAAGAAAUCCCUCGGGCUAAUACCUCGGGGGGAUGACGGUACCCGAAGAAUAAGCACCGGCUAACUACGUGCCAGCCGCCGCAGUAACAC
rnacentral:rRNA from 1 species